UUGAUUAUCUGGUUAUGUUGUGGCUUAUCUUAUGUAUGUGCAGGCCCUCAAUAAAACAGUGAUUAAUUGAAUAUUUGAAAUCUCUCAGAAACUCUGAGCUUCAUGUGCAGCACUUGAGCAGAAAACUUUGAUUAUUUAAAUUUCUUCAAAUUGUAAUAAAUCAAGCAUUUAGAUUUCCAGAGAAAAAGAGCAAUCCCAGUGAUAUGGUUUGACUAUGUCCCCACCCAAAUCUCAUCUUGAAUUGUAGCUCCCAUAAUCCACAUGUGUCGUGGGAGGUAACUGAAUCUUGGGGGUGGGUUUUUCCCGUGCUGUUCUCUAAUAGUGUAUAAGUGUCAUGAGAUCUGAUGGUUUUAUAAAGGACGGUUCCCAUACACAUGCUGUCUUGCCUGCCACCAAGUAAGAUGUGCCUUUGCUCUUCCUUCACCUUCCACCAUGAUUGAGGCACCCCCAGCCAUAUGGAGCUGUGAGACCAAUAAACCUCUUUCCUUUAUAAAUUACCCAGUCUUGGGUAUGUCUUUAUUAGCAUCAUGAGUAGGGACUAAUACACCCAGCUUCCAUCCUUUCCCUUGCAGCAGGAGAGACAGGGAUAUAUAUUUCCUGAUUAUGAGCACUUCUCAUUUCUUCUGAGCUGUGACAUCACUUUUAGUAAGGGACUGUCCUUCCCAGUGGAAUGCACUGGUGUUUGAGCAGGCAUACCCUCAUUUUGGAGACUUGUGAGGGGCAUGUGGCAGGAAGGAGUUUUAGUAAAUGAGGAAACAUCUCUGCACUAGCAGCUUUUACUUGUUGUGAACAAACUCAUUUUGAAGACCCCUUAUUCUCCUCUACCUCCUUCCUGAGUAUCCUGCUUAUCAUCUGGAGAUGAGAGAAGAUGGUUUUAGCAGAGACACUUUCAAGUUAGCAUUUCCUGGAGCCAGAGCAGAGACAGACAACUAGUGUUGCAUUAUGGAGGUAUAAGGAAAUGGGGUUGUUUCAAAAGCUAUAAAAGUUUCCUUUAUUGGCUUCUCUUUUUCACACUGGUUGUUUAAAUCUGAAUAUUUCCUAGCUUUUUGCAGAUGAUGAAAUAGGUAGAAAGAAAUGUUUAGCUAAUAAAGUGCAUGUUAUUAGGCAAGCUGCAUCAUCACUUUCUUCUAACAGGAUUUAACAGUCUGUUCUUUUUUUCAUUUUUAAAAAAUCCCUGCCACUAUUCCAGGGGUCAGAGGAUGCCACUCCUUCAGGGGUCAGUGCAUGUUUGUCUCCUGAUCGUGCCACAGGAAUGUGAUUGUAAUCUCAGCAUCAUGGUGGCCAUUCUCAACAGUCCCUCUUUCCUGGACAUGAUCCUCUUUCCCUGGGAUUUGUACAGAUAAAAGACUGUUUGGGCUGGGGGUGGUGGCUCACACCUGUAAUCCCAACACUUUGGGAGGCCAAGGCGAGUGGAUCACGAUGUCAGGAGAUUGAGACCAUCCUGGUUAACAGGGUGAAACUCCUCUUCUACUAAGAAAUACAAGAAAUUAGCCAGGUGUGGUGGUGGGUGCCUGUAGUCCCUGCUACUGGGGAGGCUGAGGCAGGAGAAUGGCAUGAACCCGGGAGGCGGAGCUUGCAGUGAGCCAAGAUAGUGCCACCGCACUCCAGCCAGGGCAACAGAGCCAGACUUCAUCUCAAAAAAAAAACAAAAAAA
rnacentral:lncRNA from 1 species